rnacentral:rRNA from 1 species
AGAGCUUGCUCUCUGAUGGCGAGUGGCGAACGGGUGAGUAACAUAUCGGAACGUGCCUAGGUAAUGGGGAAUAACGUAAUCGAAAGAUUAGCUAAUACCGCAUACGACCUACGGGUGAAAGCAGGGAGCUUUCGGACCUUGCGUUAUUAGAGCGGCCGAUAUCUGAUUAGGUAGUUGGUAGGGUAAAAGGCCUACCAAGCCGACGAUCAGUAGCUGGUCUGAGAGGACGAUCAGCCACACUGGAACUGAGACACGGUCCAGACUCC